AUACGUAGGACCCAAGCGUUGUCCGGAAUUACUGGGCGUAAAGGGCAUGUAGGCGGUCUUGUAAGCUUGGCGUGAAAGACCACGGCUCAACCGUGGGAUUGCGUUGAGAACUGCGAGGCUUGAGUGACGGAGAGGGAGCUAGAAUUCCUGGUGUAGGGGUGGAAUCUGUAGAUAUCAGGAGGAACACCGGUGGCGAAGGCGGCUGCCUGGACCGAUAUUGACGCUGAGACGCGAAAGCGUGGGUAGC
rnacentral:rRNA from 1 species